GCACAUCCUUAGUCGGUUUAUUUCAUGUUUUUUCUGCGUUUAGUAGAGAAUAGUCUUAAGAAGACCCCGUAAAACAAUGGUGUCUGUAGCGUUCACUGAUACUAACAGUUCAUGGGUGCUUUCCAGGGGCCGUUCUUGUAAUCCCAAGGAGCCUCCGUUUCCUUGUUUCGGCUGCAUACAGUGCUUGCUAUGCAGUACUGCACUUCUUUCCUCCGCCUCCCUCUCCCCACCCCUGGCAGCCACAACUACCAAGCGUUGUGGGGGUGGCGCUGUGUUCCCCGGAGUCACCCCGGACCAAUAAUUUAAAAACCAGCUGCAAAUUCGAGCACUUCUUCCCCACUCGCAUCGGUUUCCCAAGAUGAACAAUAAAACCGCUCAUCCUGAUGAGCCUGAUGUGUAUACCGUGCUUCCCCAAGGAGGAAAACACGUCCUAUUUAGAAGCUGACACUGAAGGUCCCUGCACCAAAUUCUGACCAAUCAAGUCUCUCGACGCACCAUCUUCUUUCUCCAUCUUCCGCGUCCAGCCCUCGCCAUUUUCUAAAAAGGAGACAGAGUUAAUCUGCAGUGUGAGAGUGUGUGUGGGCGGAGUGGGAGCGGAGGGGAAGGAGGAGGGAAGUGAACCCUUUUCAAACAGCCCCUUAGUCAGUGUGAUCCAAUUGUUUCCUUCUGAUCGCUGCAGCAUGCGUCUUGAUGGCACAACGUGACUGUAGAUAUAUGGUUGCAGAAAGGCGCAUGGACAAAACCAGGUUCGUUACCUGUGUCUGUGAGAUCGAUCUAAUAAAGCAUAAAUUGAUGCUGAAAGGGGAGAGAAGGUAUGGCAGUGUUUUGAUAUCUAAUGUACAUUUACUAACUAAAUAAAGGGUAACCUUUUGGAGGUGGCUGUAUGUGCAGCCUCCAGCAUUCAAAAGCAACAGAAAUAAUUUUGGAAGAUUGUGGAUUUUGCUUUGUCUUUACUAACUUAUAAGUAUAAAUACAGGGUAACAUGUAGGAGGUGGUUGUGUGUGCAGGCUCCAGCUUUUUGUAUUCAAAAGCAACACACACACAAUUCUGGAAGAUUGUGGAUUUUUCUUGGUCUUUGAGCAAGUUCCAAAUAUAAUCCCAUAAUUAUGUAUAAUAACUAAAUUGUUUUGAAAGCCUAAAUCACCCCACACUCAUGUUCUACAAAUAUGAAACCCAAUUUAAGAGUGAGAGAUGCUGAAAAUGGAAAUGGUGCUGCUUAUUGGUGGAUGGUGGGGGAACAUUUUUUGAGGCUGGCAUGUUUUGCACAAAAUCCAAAAUGCUGGUACCAUAACCAGUUAUUACUAUUGAAUUGGCCUGGCUUGAUUCAGAAUGGCCAUAUUCCAAAAUGUAUGAGAAGCAAGGGGUGUUUUUUGUGGUAUCUUUUAAUAGAUUCUCUUGGGGAAGGGGUUUGACAAACUUUUGUGCGCCCAUUGCCUUGCGUUAUGUUAGGGAGAAGGUCAGUGGGUGCCCAAAUGCUUGUUAAACUUCCCAACUAUUAUAUAGUUGUCUCAAUAAAAGAUAUCUGAGGAGGAAAAAAUAAAAACUUUACUUGUAUACUUCCUGGACUAACAUGGUUACAACAAUCCAACUCCAUGUAAUCCAAUUUAGCAUUUUUUUUGUUGCUGUCUCUCCAUUGGUACUACACAUCUUUGUGGCAC